rnacentral:rRNA from 1 species
AUUGGAGGGCAAGUCUGGUGCCAGCAGCCGCGGUAAUUCCAGCUCCAAUAGCGUAUAUUAAAGUUGUUGCAGUUAAAAAGCUCGUAGUUGAAUUUUAGGCCUGACCGGGCGGUCCGUCUCUGGUGAGUACUGUCCUGUUGUCGGAUCUAUCCUUCUGGUGAGCCGAUAUGUCCUUUAUUGGGUGUGUCGGGGAACCAGAACCAUUACCUUGAAAAAAUUAGAGUGUUUAAAGCGGGCUCUUGCUUGAAUAGAUUAGCAUGGAAUAAUAAAAUAGGACGUUGGUUCUAUUUUGUUGGUCUAGGACCACCGUAAUGAUUAAUAGGGAUAGUUGGG